GGGUGCCAGCAGCCGCGGUAAUUCCAGCUCCAAUAGCGUAUAUUAAAGUUGUUGCGGUUAAAAAGCUCGUAGUUGGAUCUCGGGGACAGGCUUGCGGUCCGCCUCGCGGCGGUUUUUUACUGCUCGCUCCUGUACUCCACGAGCUGGUUGGGCGCUGUCGCCGGCCGAUGGGAGGGCUGGCAACGGUUCACCUGUCGGUGUCUCUAGGCGGGCGCUUCCUUUAAGCCCUUGGUGCUCUUCGCUGAGUGUCUCGGGUGGCCAGCGCGUUUACUUUGAAAAAAUUAGAGUGUUCAAAGCAGGCCCAGUCGCCUGCAUAAUGUUGCAUGGAAUGAUGGAAUAGGACCUCGGCUCCCCUAUUUUGUUGGUUUCCGAAGCUCGAGGUAAUGAUUAAGA
rnacentral:rRNA from 1 species